UAUGUGAUCGUCUCUCGCAUAUCAAUAAGCGGAGGAAAAGAAACUAACAAGGAUUCCCCUAGUAACGGCGAGUGAAGCGGGAAGAGCUCAAAUUUGAAAUCUUAAAGGGUUUCCCCUUACGAAUUGUAGUUUAAAGAAGUGUUUUCUGUUGAGGUUUUGGUAAAAGUUCUUUGGAAUAGGACAUCAUAGAGGGUGAGAAUCCCGUAUUUGACCAUUACUUUCAACUUUGUGAUACACUUUCAAAGAGUCGGAUUGUUUGGGAAUGCAGUCCAAAAUGGGUGGUAAAUUUCAUCCUAAAGCUAAAUAUUGGCGAGAGACCGAUAGCGAACAAGUACCGUGAGGGACAGAUGAAAAGAACUUUGAAAAGAGAGUUAAACAGUACGUGAAAUUGUCAAAAGGGAAGCGUUUGACACCAGUGUUGUUUUUCUGAAAAUCAAUUAAAGAACUGUUUAUGCUAAGCUGUUUAGACUUUAUCAGCUAUCUGUUUAGUUUUAGGCUUUUCUUUAAUGCACUUUUCAGUUAACAAGUCAACAUCAAUUUCUUUUGCUGUAAAAAAGCUUGAGGAAGGUGGCUUGAGAUUCGUCUUAAGUGUUUAUAGCCUCCUGCCUAUGCAGUCGGAGAGAUUGAGGUCUGCAGCGUAGAUCCUUCGGGGCUAAAUGCAUUUGUGCUAAGUUAUAGCAUUUUAUAGACAACUUGUUGACUAUGAUUUGUCUUGUAGCUUACUCGCUUAUGUUAUUUUACCUACGCUUAGGAUGUUGAUCUACAGAGCGAGAGU
rnacentral:rRNA from 1 species